rnacentral:rRNA from 1 species
UACUACGAGCAUUAGCUUGAAACCCAAAGGACUUGGCGGUGCUUAAGAUCCACCUAGAGGAGCCUGUUCUAGAACCGAUAACCCCCGUUUAACCUCACCCUCCCUUGUUUAUCCCGCCUAUAUACCGCCGUCGUCAGCUUACCCUGUGAAGGCCUAAUAGUAAGCAAAACUAGCACAGCUCAAAACGUCAGGUCGAGGUGUAGUACAUGAGAGGGGAAGAAAUGGGCUACAUUCCCUAAAUUAGGGAACACGAACAACAUGCUGAAACGCACGUUAGAAGGAGGAUUUAGCAGUAAGCAGAAACUAGAGCGU